rnacentral:miRNA from 1 species
GCAAACACAUUCCAGCCAAUCGGCAGCAGACCCUCCCUCCCAGACCCUCCCAUCUCCUGGACAGCUCACUAAGAAUGCAGCUUCACAAUGAAUGUAAAAUGGAUGCUGUCCAGGAGGUGGGAGGGUCUGGGAGGGAGGGUCUGCUGCUGAUUGGCUGGAAUGUGUCUG